GAGAGCGUGAGACAUUUUUACACAUUUCCCCUUGCUCAUUCAACCGCCUCUCAUUUACAGUAUCAUCAUGCGGACCGCUCUGCUUCUCGCGGUGUUCUCGUGCUUUUCUCUUAUCGAGGGAAAGCCAUUCGAAGAUAAAACGUGUGUUGGAAUUCGCAGAGAAGAUUCGUCCUAUGACUUUGACCUGCCCGACGCUGUGGCCGUGAACUUGCAAGACCUCACCUGUGAUGCAGAGUGGACCAUUGAUCAAUUCACAGCUAUCCUGGAUGGAAAUUCAGCAUACUUUUCACAUCCCUUCAAAAACGUAACCCGUAAUGGAAUCAGUGUGACUUACUGUCCAUUUUCAGUCACAUUCCAUGCCUCUUGUCUUAAUUAUGUCAAUCACCUUACAUGUUCUUGCACCAAUUCCACCAGCAUCUAUCCAGUGUUUAGCACAACUCUGCCAUCUAGAGAUGUUGCCAUUGCUGUUGCUGCCAUUUUUGUCAUAACCCUUGUCAUUUUGGCUUUCCACUCUGCAAGCACAGCGAAAUAUGCUCCUGAAGAACAAAACCAGCCUGGUUCAGUAGAAUGAGCCUGAGGAGGCAACUGUAAUUGCCCUAGAAACAACACAUGGCGUGGAGUCAUAACAACACAUUAUCCUAUAAUGUAACACAUAUUAUAUUAUAUUAUAUUAUAUUAUAUUAUAUUAUAUUAUAUUAUAUUAUAUUAUAUUAUAUAGUCAAAAAUUGAGAUUUUCCACUGUAUAUUAUAUUAUAUUAUAUAGUCCAAAACUGGGAUUUUUCACUGUAUAUUAUAUUAUAUUAUAUUAUAUUAUAUUAUAUUAUAUUAUAUUAUUCAAAACUGUGAUUUUUCACUGUAUCACUCCGCUUGUCCGUGUUCCAUUUUGAACUUGGGUUUUUCAUUGAUUCAUUCUGCAACUAACUUGGUUACGCUAACCGGUUAUGACAAGUGAGGGUUUUGUAUUGAAUGUCUUUUGUAUAAACGAGUUACUGAAUCAUUCAUUCAUUUACUCAAGUAACUUAAUAUUACUCAAGUUAAUCAAUAUUGUAUAAAACCAUACCAAUCAGUAUAACAAUGUCACGCUUUUGGUGCUGCAACAGAACACACAACAGAGUAUGUGGAAGUGGAACGACAUCAAAUUCCUCUCCUUGCUCAAUAAGUUCUGUAAUCAUGUUACUUCACUCCCUCUACACAUUUCCUAUUUCUCACUGGUUAGAGAAAAACACUGCUCUUAGAGUAAGAGAAAACACAGACAUACUAAAAGUGACACAAACAGUGAAAUAUCAGAGUUUUACUAAAUAUGGUCACUGUUGUACCUGUAUUAUAUUAUAUUAUUAUAUUAUAUUAUAUUAUAUUAUAUUAUAUUAUAUUAUAUUAUAUUAUAUUAUAUCAUAUCAUAUAUUAAGUUUAAUAUGAAGUCUAAUAUAAAGGUUAUAACUUUGUAUUUCCUCCCAGUAUUUACAAUAGUUUCCUGUCUCUUCUGUUGUUAGAUAUUGUUUUUUACACAAAUUGGGCUUAAAAGUUUUAAUCAUUAACGUUACAUAGCGGCGCUUGUGUUCAUCUUUGCUUAGUGCUGUAAAUCUUGUUUGCUCGUAGUUCUAAACACUUUUAUAGGAAUUUCUUAUUUAUUUCAGGUUUUUCCAUCCUUGUAGCUCUUUUUAAUUUUUUUGUUUGUUUGUUUUGAGUUAUUCUGAAACUGCCAUUAAACCUAUGCCUUUUACUCAA
ensembl:lncRNA